GUAGGUGAACCUGCGGAAGGAUCAUUAAAAAAACGGGGAGGCGUGCUCUCGUUCCUUUUGGGAUCGGGACACGCCUCCUCUUAGUAUCCAAAUUCUUUAUUUUUUGUUUCGGAAUCCGGCUAUUACACGCUAGAUUCCAAAAUAUAAUCUAAACAAAACUUUCAACAAUGGAUCUCUUGGCUCUUGCAUCGAUGAAGAACGCAGCAUCUGACUGACUCGGGCAUA
rnacentral:misc_RNA from 1 species